GAUCAUGGCUCAGGAUGAACGCUGGCGGCGUGCCUAACACAUGCAAGUCGAGCGAUUACUUCGGUAAAGAGCGGCGGACGGGUGAGUAACGCGUGGGUAACCUGCCUCAUACACAUGGAUAACAUACCGAAAGGUAUGCUAAUACAGGAUAAUAUAAGAGAUUCACAUGGAUUUCUUAUCAAAGCUCCGGCGGUAUGAGAUGGACCCGCGUCUGAUUAGCUAGUUGGUAAGGUAAUGGCUUACCAAGGCGACGAUCAGUAGCCGACCUGAGAGGGUGAUCGGCCACAUUGGAACUGAGACACGGUCCAAACUCCUACGGGAGGCAGCAGUGGGGAAUAUUGCACAAUGGGCGAAAGCCUGAUGCAAGCAACGCCGCGUGAGUGAUGAAGGCCUUCGGGUCGUAAAACUCUAUCCUCAAGGAAGAUAAUGACGGUACUUGAGGAGGAAGCCCCGGCUAACUACGUGCCAGCAGCAGC
rnacentral:rRNA from 1 species